GCACUUUUGGCUCAACCGGGUAGAGGGUUGACUGGUGCGCAAAGGACCGGGGUUCGAUUCCCCGCUGUGGUA